rnacentral:rRNA from 1 species
GACGAACGCUGGCGGCGUGCCUAAUACAUGCAAGUAGAACGCUGAGGAGAGGAGCUUGCUCUUCUUGGAUGAGUUGCGAACGGGUGAGUAACGCGUAGGUAACCUGCCUUGUAGCGGGGGAUAACUAUUGGAAACGAUAGCUAAUACCGCAUAACAAUAGGUGACACAUGUCAUUUAUUUGAAAGGGGCAAUUGCUCCACUACAAGAUGGACCUGCGUUGUAUUAGCUAGUAGGUGAGGUAACGGCUCACCUAGGCGACGAUACAUAGCCGACCUGAGAGGGUGAUCGGCCACACUGGGACUGAGACACGGCCCAGACUCCUACGGGAGGCAGCAGUAGGGAAUCUUCGGCAAUGGGGGCAACCCUGACCGAGCAACGCCGCGUGAGUGAAGAAGGUUUUCGGAUCGUAAAGCUCUGUUGUAAGUCAAGAACGAGUGUGAGAGUGGAAAGUUCACACUGUGACGGUAGCUUACCAGAAAGGGACGGCUAACUACGUG